rnacentral:rRNA from 1 species
UGGGGAAUCUUCCGCAAUGGACGAAAGUCUGACGGAGCAACGCCGCGUGAGUGAAGAAGGUUUUCGGAUCGUAAAACUCUGUCUUUUGGGGCGAACGUGAGUAUGGUGAACAAUCAUAGUCAGUGACGGUACCAAAGGAGGAAGCCACGGCUAACUACGUGCCAGCAGCCGCGGUAAUACGUAGGUGGCAAGCGUUGUCCGGAAUUAUUGGGCGUAAAGAGCGCGUAGGCGGGAUAGUCAGUCUGUUGUAAAGUGCGGGGCUCAACCCCGUGAUGGCAAUGGAAACAGCUAUUCUUGAGUGCAGGAGAGGAAAGUGGAAUUCCCAGUGUAGCGGUGAAAUGCGUAGAUAUUGGGAGGAACACCAGUGGCGAAGGCGACUUUCUGGACUGUGUCUGACGCUGAGGCGCGAAAGCCAGGGGAGCGAACGGGAUUAGAUACCCCGGUAGUCCUGGCCGUAAACGAUGGGUACUAGGUGUGGGAGGUAUCGACCCCUUCCGUGCCGGAGUUAACGCAAUAAGUACCCCGCCUGGGGAGUACGGUCGCAAGAUU